AGUGCCUGCUUUCUCUUCCAGUAUCUAAGGAACAGUGAUCUGCAUGUGGGAAUGGUAACAUCUACACAGAGGCUGUGCUGUGAUUGGUGGAGAUUUCUAACAUAUUGGCUGCAAAUACGCAGCCCUUGUAUGGCAGGAAAGAGUUCCUAGAGAGAGAAGACAAAGACGGUCUGUGUUGCAAACGAAGCCCCAGGCUGAAGACUGGAGAUCUGAAUGUGCUACUUGCAAGGGAACUGGAGACAAUGAAAAUCGUGUCAGGACAAGUUGACAACGGGUCUCCGUGUAUAGGCCAUCAAAGCAAUUUGAUCGAAACACUUUGUAGCAAGAUGAUGGUGUUUUCUGUGAAAACAAUAAAGUGACUAAGA